rnacentral:rRNA from 1 species
UUCUUUAAGAGUAAAAACGAUUAUGAUUAGUUUGGGAAAUAACCUUUUUGUAUUACGGUUUUUAGGCAAAAAUAAGGAGGGAGUUAUUUGCUCGAAAUAAGAAAGAUUUAUGAUGGGUUAGUUAGGAGUCAAGUAGAUGCUGGGGUUUCUGGAAUAUAGAGUUUUAGAGAAUAAAACUUAAAAAUUCGUUCAUAGAGGUGAUAUUUUUUUCGAUUCUUAGUUGCUAGUUUGGAAAAUGAUAAAGUUUGAGCUUUGUCUGGUUAGUUCGUGUGGUUGGAAAGAGUAGAAGGUUUGAGAAGGAGAAAAUUUCAGAAUGAUUAAGUGUGUUUAAUAAUCGUGAAUGGAUGAUUAGAAACAGUAAGGAGUAGAAACAAUCUAAAAAGGAAAUUAAGAAAUAAGUAUAAAGGUUUGGUAUAAGAACUCAGAGUAUAUGCAACUGUUUAUUAAAAACAUUUCUUUUUUGUUAAAAAGUACACCCUGCUCAAUGAGCUUUUGGUGGGCUUAAAUAGCUGCAGUAUUUUGACUGUGCUUAGGUAGCAUAAUUAUUUGUCUGUUAAAUGUAGAAUUGUUUGAAUGGGGUUGAAGACAUAUUAAGUUUAUUUGUAUUAAAAAGAGGAAGUUGAAAAAAAAGUGAAGAUUCUUUUAGUUGAGGCUUAAGACGAAAAGACCCUAAGAGUUUAGUAUUGUUGUCUUGGCUAUGGAAGUCAAUGAUUUUUGAUGGGGAAUUAGAAAUUAUAGUAAUAUUAGAAGAAUUAAUGAAAACUUCCUUAGGGAUAACAGGGUAAUAAGACUUUCAAGUUCAUAUUAAAGGUCUUGUUUACUACCUCGAUGUUGAAUCAUAGAGAAAGUUAGGUUGCAGGAGCUUCAAAGUUUCAGUCUGUUCGACUGUUAAAUCUAUUCGUGAUUUGAGUUUAGACCGAUGUAAAUCAGGUUGGUUUUUAUCUAGGUUAGUUUUAUGUUGUACGAAAGGACUCAGUAAAAUUUAAAU